UUGAAGGUGAUGUGAUGUUCUAAAAUUCUAAUCUCUAUCUACGAUAUUGCUUUUUAACAAAGUAUAUGGGUGAUAUGAUAUUCUAAACAUAUAUAAGUGUAUUUCUAAAUUUUAUAAAGGUUUCUUCUUGUUGUCCCUGGCCAGUAGCAUUAUGUUUUGUUGCAUGUUAUCAGAAUUGUAUGGUCACUACUUUUGAAGCCUUUCUGACUGAACAAUACCCAGCUGUUUGUCAUAAUUGCUAUCUAUAUCAUGUGAUGUAACCCUGACUGCUAUCACUUUUAAAAAAAAACAGUUAGUUAAAGUCUUCUUCAAUCUGUUUCACUUAUUUAGUACGAAUCAGAAGUGAACUUAUACAGAAAUUAUCAAACAAGUUGGAAGACUAAAAACUUUGAUACACUCAAAAAGUCACUUUUUAAGUUUAAUUAUUUCCGUUCGAAAUUGAAUAUACAAUCAAUAACAAAUUAGAGUCACAAAGUAAAUUUAACUUUCUUAAAGCAAUAUUUUAAAUUAAAAAAAUUUAGAAAAAAACUUGUGAUUGUUGUGUUGUUUCUUCUUCCUACAAAUUAACCUUAUU